GACGAACGCUGGCGGCGUGCUUAACACAUGCAAGUCGAACGGAAAGGCCCUGCUUUUGUGGGGUGCUCGAGUGGCGAACGGGUGAGUAACACGUGAGUAACCUGCCCUUGACUUUGGGAUAACUUCAGGAAACUGGGGCUAAUACCGGAUAGGAGCUCCUGCUGCAUGGUGGGGGUUGGAAAGUUUCGGCGGUUGGGGAUGGACUCGCGGCUUAUCAGCUUGUUGGUGGGGUAGUGGCUUACCAAGGCUUUGACGGGUAGCCGGCCUGAGAGGGUGGCCGGCCACAUUGGGACUGAGAUACGGCCCAGACUCCUACGGGAGGCAGCAGUGGGGAAUAUUGCACAAUGGGCGGAAGCCUGAUGCAGCAACGCCGCGUGCGUGAUGACGGCCUUCGGGUUGUAAACCGCUGUCGCCUGUGACGAAGCGUGAGUGACGGUAAUGGGUAAAGAAGCACCGGCUAACUACGUG
rnacentral:rRNA from 1 species